AUACGGAGGGGGUUAGCGUUGUUCGGAAUUACUGGGCGUAAAGCGUACGUAGGCGGAUCAGAAAGUAUGGGGUGAAAUCCCAGGGCUCAACCCUGGAACUGCCUCAUAAACUCCUGGUCUUGAGUUCGAGAGAGGUGAGUGGAAUUCCGAGUGUAGAGGUGAAAUUCGUAGAUAUUCGGAGGAACACCAGUGGCGAAGGCGGCUCACUGGCUCGAUACUGACGCUGAGGUACGAAAGUGUGGGGAGCAAACAGGAUUAGAAACCCUAGUAGUCC
rnacentral:rRNA from 1 species